rnacentral:miRNA from 1 species
CUGGGAUUACAGGCAUGAGCCACCGCGCCCGGCCUGCCCAUUUUAAAAAACAGUCUUGGCCCAGCAUGGUGGCUCAUGCCUGUAAUCCCAGC